rnacentral:rRNA from 1 species
AAUAUUGCGCAAUGGGGGGAACCCUGACGCAGCAACGCCGCGUGAGUGAAGAAGGUCUUCGGAUCGUAAAACUCUGUCAUAGGGGAAGAAGGAAGUGACGGUACUCUAUGAGGAAGCUCCGCCUAACUACGUGCCAGCACCCGCGGUAAUACGUAGGGGGCGAGCGUUUUCCGGAAUUACUGGGCGUAAAGGGUGCGUAGGCGGCCGAUUAAGUCAGAUGUGAAAUACCAUGGCUCAACCAUGGGGGUGCAUUUGAAACUGGUUGGCUUGAGUGCAGGAGAGGAAAGCGGAAUUCCUAGUGUAGCGGUGAAAUGCGUAGAGAUUAGGAGGAACACCAGUGGCGAAGGCGGCUUUCUGGACUGUAACUGACGCUGAGGCACGAAAGCGUGGGGAGCAAACAGG